AUUGAACGCUGGCGGCAUGCCUUACACAUGCAAGUCGAACGGUAACAGGUCUUCGGAUGCUGACGAGUGGCGAACGGGUGAGUAAUACAUCGGAACGUGCCUAGUAGUGGGGGAUAACUACUCGAAAGAGUGGCUAAUACCGCAUGAGAUCUACGGAUGAAAGCAGGGGAUCGCAAGACCUUGUGCUACUAGAGCGGCCGAUGGCAGAUUAGGUAGUUGGUGGGAUAAAAGCUUACCAAGCCGACGAUCUGUAGCUGGUCUGAGAGGACGAUCAGCCACGCUGGGACUGAGACACGGCCCAGACUCCUACGGGAGGCAGCAGUGGGGAAUUUUGGACAAUGGGCGCAAGCCUGAUCCAGCAAUGCCGCGUGCAGGAUGAAGGCCUUCGGGUUGUAAACUGCUUUUGUACGGAACGAAAAGCCCCGGGUUAAUACCCUGGGGUCAUGACGGUACCGUCAGAAUAAGCACCGGCUAACUACGUGCCAGCAGCCGCGGUAA
rnacentral:rRNA from 1 species